CCGCACGGGUGAGUAACACGUAUCCAACCUGCCGUCUACUCUUGGACAGCCUUCUGAAAGGAAGAUUAAUACAAGAUGGCAUCAUGAGUCCGCAUGUUCACAUGAUUAAAGGUAUUCCGGUAGACGAUGGGGAUGCGUUCCAUUAGAUAGUAGGCGGGGUAACGGCCCACCUAGUCUUCGAUGGAUAGGGGUUCUGAGAGGGAGGUCCCCCACAUUGGAACUGAGACACGGUCCAA
rnacentral:rRNA from 1 species